GUUGCCAGAAGAUUAUCGGUUUAAACUUGUUUGGUUCGUCCCUGGUCUGUGGUCAGUGUUCAGAACCCACCCCUCAACACUAUGAGUGUAGUUUUAUUUGUCCACACGGACCAGGACCACGUGACCAGAGAGAGAAACAUGUCUGCCGGUGAAUCAGCAGGAGGGAAUUUGGUGUCGGUGGAUUUUGAAGUCUUUGGCUACGUUCAGGGCGUCUGCUUCAGAAUGUACACAGAAAAAGAGGGUCUUCACCUUGGACUGGUGGGCUGGGUAAAGAACACCUACAGUGGGACUGUAGUAGGUCAGGUCCAAGGUCCAGCCAAGCAGGUGGAGGAGAUGAAGUUCUGGCUGAGUAAAAAAGGAAGUCCAUCCAGCCGGAUAACCAAAGCUACCUUCAGUAACCAGAGGAAUAUUGAGAAACUGGAACUGUCCGGAUUCAACACUCGCUUCUGAGAAAAAUCUUCAAAGUAGACAUUAAUAUGUCACACGUCAGUCACAGACACCGUAAGACCGCUGACGAUUGCGCUGUGACGAUUACGUAAUCGCAGUCUCCGCCCGGCCCGGCGGCGAAACUUGUUAACACCAUAGAAGCGCCCCUGUGUAUCUGCAGUGUGAAGUGAAGGAGGAGCAGAAAUGUUACUGAUGA